rnacentral:rRNA from 1 species
UACAGAGGGGGCGAGCGUUGUUCGGAAUUACUGGGCGUAAAGGGCGCGUAGGCGGCCCGCUAAGUCGAACGUGAAAUCCCCCAGGCUCAACCUGGGAACUGCGUCCGAUACUGGCAGGCUUGAAUCCGGGAGAGGGAUGUGGAAUUCCAGGUGUAGCGGUGAAAUGCGUAGAUAUCUGGAGGAACACCGGUGGCGAAGGCGGCAUCCUGGACCGGUAUUGACGCUGAGGCGCGAAAGCCAGGGGAGCAAAGCGGG